rnacentral:rRNA from 2 species
UACGUAGGGUGCGAGCGUUAAUCGGAAUUACUGGGCGUAAAGCGUGCGCAGGCGGUUCGUUAAGUCAGAUGUGAAAGCCCCGGGCUCAACCUGGGAACUGCAUUUGAAACUGGCGGGCUUGAGUAUGGCAGAGGGGGGUGGAAUUCCGCGUGUAGCAGUGAAAUGCGUAGAGAUGCGGAGGAACACCGAUGGCGAAGGCAGCCCCCUGGGCCAAUACUGACGCUCAGGCACGAAAGCGUGGGGAGCAAACAGG